rnacentral:misc_RNA from 1 species
CGGCGAUCAGUUCGUCGUCUUUCCUCGAAUCUGAGCUUGUUAUAAUCAUUAGUUGUUCUCGAAUUGUAUUUGUAUUUCCUUGAUGUGCUUGCAGGUUAACUGGGCAGCUCGAUUUCUGCAUCAACGGGUAGCGGCGCGUGAGUGAUCAGAUCUGUGACGUUGUAUGCUCGAAUCUGUAAGUUUGCGGCGGGAUUGGAAGAGAUCG